rnacentral:rRNA from 1 species
UACGUAGGGGGCUAGCGUUGUCCGGAUUUAUUGGGCGUAAAGAGCGUGUAGGCGGCUUGAUAGGUCUGCUGUGAAAACUCGGGGCUCAACCCCGAGAUGUCGGUGGAAACCAUCUGGCUAGAGUCCGGAAGAGGAGAGUGGAAUUCCGGGUGUAGCGGUGAAAUGCGUAGAUAUCUGGAGGAACACCGGUGGCGAAGGCGACAUCCUGGACCAACACUGACGCUGAGGAGCGAAAGCCAGGGGAGCAAACGGG